AGCAGUCGCCACGGUAAUACGUAGGUGGCAAGCGUUGUUCGGAAUUACUGGGCGUAAAGCGCACGUAGGCGGCUUGGUAAGUUAGAGGUGAAAGCCCGGAGCUCAACUCCGGAAUUGCCUUUAAGACUGCCGAGCUAGUAGGUGAGAGAGGUAAGUGGAAUUCCGAGUGUAGAGGUGAAAUUCGUAGAUAUUCGGAAGAACACCAGUGGCGAAGGCGGCCAUCUGGGACAACACUGACGCUGAGGCACGAAAGCGUGGGGAGCAAACAGGAUUAGAUACCCAAGUAGUCCCUGUCUCUUAUAC
rnacentral:rRNA from 1 species